rnacentral:rRNA from 1 species
GACGAACGCUGGCGGCGUGCCUAAUACAUGCCAGUUGAGCGCUGAAGGUUGGUACUUGUACCAACUGGAUGAGCAGCGAACGGGUGAGUAACGCGUGGGGAAUCUGCCUUUGAGCGGGGGACAACAUUUGGAAACGAAUGCUAAUACCGCAUAAAAACUUUAAACACAAGUUUUAAGUUUGAAAGAUGCAAUUGCAUCACUCAAAGAUGAUCCCGCGUUGUAUUAGCUAGUUGGUGAGGUAAAGGCUCACCAAGGCGAUGAUACAUAGCCGACCUGAGAGGGUGAUCGGCCACAUUGGGACUGAGACACGGCCCAAACUCCUACGGGAGGCAGCAGUAGGGAAUCUUCGGCAAUGGACGAAAGUCUGACCGAGCAACGCCGCGUGAGUGAAGAGGGGUUUCGGAUCGUAAAACUCUGUUGGUAGAGAAGAACGUUGGUGAGAGUGGAAAGCUCAUCAAGUGACGGUAACUACCCAGAAAGGGACGGCUAACUACGUG